ensembl:lncRNA
AAAGAUGUGAUGAUGUCUGUUUUCUUGGGUGCUAAUACACCUCCUGAGUGAAUGGUGCAUGCCACUUUGGCUGUGCAUUAUCUGAAAUGGCCCAGUCAGGCACUUUUCAUUUAAUUUAAUUUUAUUUUUUAUUUUAAUGCUAUAUUCAUUCUCUCUGCUUUGUCUUCUGCAGCAACAAGAUUUAAUUGGUGAUGUUUUGGAGCUUCCCUCUAUGGAACCAGUCCUGCUUCAAUGAAGAGUAAUAGCAAGAUCUUUUUCUCUUCAGUGGUUCAGAAUUUGAUGGUGGGAUAUCAAAAAUACCAUCCAGCAUCGGCCUUGAUUGCAGUAAUGGAUGAAGAACUGCUUGUGCUGGAGGAUACCGAAUUAGCAAGGAGCACCAUGUGUUCUUGUGGAUGUGAAUGAGAGAUGAAUAGGAAGGAGAUGAAAACUUGUAUUUGACUGCCUGCAGGAUAAUUGUGUUAGUGCAUGAUAGUCCAGGACAUGGUUCAACCGUGGAGACUGAAAUUCUGAAAUGGUGGGGACUGAAUAUGGCACUUUUGCCAAAUUAGGAGGACUCGGCCAGGAGAUUGUGCCAUCCUGGGUGGAUGGAGGAUGGGGGAAAGGCACAAUGCUGUCCAUAACCAUUACUUACUGGGUAAGUAACUUACUGGGUAACUUCUGCUGCACCACACGGACCAAGGGGCUCUCGGCAGUGAGUUUGCGGCUGGAUGUGGUGCUGAUGUUGUGAGGCUGUGGGGUGCUGAGCCACAGGGAGGGCUGGGCAGUGCGGGAUGGUGGUUCCUGGUUCUCCAGUGCAGCCAGGGCAGUGACUCACCAUGUAGUGAGUCAUUGGAGCUAUUUCAGAGUGUGAUUUCAGAAGAACUACUUGGCUUUCAGGGUUUUCCAGUGGAGAACAAGUGUCUCCUUCCUGCAGGAAAGCUCCAAUCCAUUCUUCAUAGUUGUCUGAGCCUCCUUGAUCCAGGUGCCAGCAGGAGGACACGUAGUUUUAGGGUGAGAACUCACCGCUGUCAGCGGUGGUGGUACUUGAACAAAUGAUGUUCGUGGGCAAGUGAUGUGAGGCCAGAAGUCUGAAAACAUGAGUCUAAAUUAGUCAGACUGUACUGAGGCUACCUAUUUAUGUGUAUCAUUUCUGGAAAAUCUGUGUGUAUAAUCAAAUCCUAGAUUUACAGGUUGUGUGUCCUAUGUCAAUGCUGAGCUGCAGACGAGUCCUUGGAGCAACCAAACAAGAACUGCAAGCAAGGAGUGUAAUCAGAGUGAUUUUCCUCUUUCAGCAGGAGGAGGAGCUGGCCCUGCAUUACACUUAAAAUGGAGUUUGAUUCCGGGUGAUGGGUCAGUGGUGAUGAUAUUGCUCAGAUAAAUGCAGGAAAGGAAGGACUGCCCAUCUGAGCUGACCAUGUGGGAGACGUGAGGCCCGGCAGUGCCAGUGUUCAGGUAGGUGGGGCUGGCGGACUUCACCUGGCGCUCAUGAGACUGGGUCAAACGUGAUGGAUGCUUCACAUGGUAAGGUGGGGGCUUAUUGUCCACAAGCUGGGUUCAGGGAAAAACUUUCAUGUGAGGAGAAACUGAAGAGUCUGGUCCAGCUAAUAAGUGAGAUAAUUAAUAAAGGAAAUAUAAUAGUGUAUCA